rnacentral:rRNA from 1 species
AGCAGCCGCGGUAAUUCCAGCUCCAAUAGCGUAUAUUAAAGUUGUUGCAGUUAAAAAGCUCGUAGUUGAAUUUCGGGGUUAGUAGGUUGGUCAUGCCUCUGGUAUGUACUGGUCUCACUGAUUCCUCCUUCCUGAUGAGCCGUAAUGCCAUUAAUUUGGUGUUGCGGGGAAUUUGGACUGUUACUUUGAAAAAAUUUAGAGUGUUUAAAGCAGGCUCACGCUUGAAUACAUUAGCAUGGAAUAAUGAAAUAGGACGUUUGAUUCUAUUUUGUUGGUUUCUAGGAUCGACGUAAUGAUUAAUAGGGAUAGUUGGGGGCAUUAGUAUUCAAUUGUCAGAGGUGAAAUUCUUGGAUUUAUUGAAGACUAACUACUGCGAAAGCAUUUGCCAAGGAUGUUUUCAUUAAUCAAGAACGAAAGUUAGGGGAUCGAAGACGAUCAGAUACCGUCGUAGUCUUAACCAUAAACUAUGCCGACUAGGGAUCGGAUGAUGUUAAUUUUUUAAUGACUCAUUCGGCGCCUU